GUGAAAUGAUGAAGGUGUUUAUCCAUUCUCUGAGUGCUGCUCGCCUGCUCUCUGCAGUGUUCGGGUCUGUUCUAGGCCCGAGCGUUUUGGCUGCCCCCCCCACUGCGUACCUCCAGUGUUUUACUGGGGGUUCUGUGGCUGGGGGCGGGGGCCAGGGCGGGGAUAGUGGGUGUAGCAAUCGCAAAGACGAGUGUAAACUCCUGAUCAC